GUGUGUUUGAGAGAGCUUCCUUCGGUCCACCCAUGGAUGUUUAAGGGGGUUGAAUCAGCUGCCGACUCAUUCAUUCGAACACACAGUAGAUAUGAAGUGUGCUCGGUUCUCUACAGUUCGUGCAGCAGAUGAAAGCUUUCGGAUUAUGGCUACUAUGUGAAUGAGUGAAUGAUGCGGGAGACUAUUCUUUCUCUUCCAUUCCAUGCUUGGACUGAAGGGAGCUCCCUCUUCCUCAUCU
rfam:Musa acuminata subsp. malaccensis Doubled-haploid Pahang (DH-Pahang) genomic chromosome, chr11